rnacentral:rRNA from 1 species
UACGGAGAGGGCUAGCGUUGUUCGGAAUUACUGGGCGUAAAGCGCACGUAGGCGGACCAGCAAGUUAGGGGUGAAAUCCCGGGGCUCAACCCCGGAACUGCCUUUAAAACUGUUGGUCUGGAGGUCGAGAGAGGUGAGUGGAAUUCCGAGUGUAGAGGUGAAAUUCGUAGAUAUUCGGAGGAACACCAGUGGCGAAGGCGGCUCACUGGCUCGAUACUGACGCUGAGGUGCGAAAGCGUGGGGAGCAAACAGG